UACGGAGGGUGCAAGCGUUGCUCGGAAUCACUGGGCGUAAAGCGUACGCAGGCGGCUUGGUAAGUUGGGUGUGAAAUCCCGGGGCUCAACCCCGGAACUGCAUUCAAGACUGCCUAGCUUGAGUACGGGAGAGGGAAGCGGAAUUCCUGGUGUAGAGGUGAAAUUCGUAGAUAUCAGGAGGAACACCAGUGGCGAAAGCGGCUUCCUGGCCCGAUACUGACGCUCAUGUACGAAAGCGUGGGGAGCAAACAGG
rnacentral:rRNA from 1 species